AGUUUAAGCGCUUGGCAUGGAGGAGAAAGUAAGGCACCAUGAGACCCAAGCAGGAGGCUACUGCAGGUCCCAGCCCCUUGGAACAGGCCGCCGGAGCGAUUACGGGGAGGCCUGUUCAUUUCUCAAUGACUUACUGUUCCUGAGCUGGGGAAACGUGCGAAGAAUCAGGAGUAAUUUAAGGCUCCCUGCAGAAAGGAGGGAUCAUAAUUCUUCAAGAGAAACAAAUAACUUCCUACCCCUGGAUUCUCAUGGAACAACUUGGCACGGUGGCUUAGGAGCCUGAUAAACUUACCGGGACACAGAGCUUGAGCUCUCUGCGUCUCGGUUUCCCUU